UCCGGUUGAUCCCGCCGGACCUGACUGCUAUCGGAUUGAUACUAAGCCAUGCGAGUCAUUGUAGCAAUACAAGGCAUACGGCUCAGUAACGCGUAGUCAACCUAACCUAUGGACGGGAAUAACCUCGGGAAACUGAGAAUAAUGCCCGAUAGAACAUUAUGCCUGGAAUGGCUUAUGUUCCAAAUGAUUUAUCGCCGUAGGAUGGGACUGCGGCCUAUCAGUUUGUUGGUGAGGUAAUGGCCCACCAAGACUAUUACAGGUACGGGCUCUGAGAGGAGUAGCCCGGAGAUGGGUACUGAGACACGGACCCAGGCCCUAUGGGGCGCAGCAGGCGAGAAAACUUUGCAAUGUGCGAAAGCACGACAAGGUUAAUCCGAGUGAUUUCUGCUAAAGGAAUCUUUUGUUAGUCCUAGAAACACUAACGAAUAAGGGGUGGGCAAGUUCUGGUGUCAGCCGCCGCGGUAAAACCAGCACCUCAAGUGGUCAGGAUGAUUAUUGGGCCUAAAGCAUCCGUAGCCGGCUCUGUAAGUUUUCGGUUAAAUCUGUACGCUCAACGUACAGGCUGCCGGGAAUACUGCAAAGCUAGGGAGUGGGAGAAGUAGACGGUACUCGGUAGGAAGUGGUAAAAUGCUUUGAUCUAUCGAUGACCACCUGUGGCGAAGGCGGUCUACUAGAACACGUCCGACGGUGAGGGAUGAAAGCUGGGGGAGCAAACCGGAUUAGAUACCCGGGUAGUCCCAGCUGUAAACUAUGCAAACUCAGUGAUGCAUUGGCUUGUGGCCAAUGCAGUGCUGCAGGGAAGCCGUUAAGUUUGCCGCCUGGGAAGUACGUACGCAAGUAUGAAACUUAAAGGAAUUGGCGGGGGAGCACCACAAGGGGUGAAGCCUGCGGUUCAAUUGGAGUCAACGCCGGA
rnacentral:rRNA from 1 species